rnacentral:tRNA from 1 species
AUACCGGUUGGGUCAUGGUUGCGUCGGCGCUGGUCUUGCUGAUGACCUUGCCGGGCAUCGCCCUGUUCUAUGCGGGGCUGGUGCG